rnacentral:rRNA from 1 species
AUGCAGUCGAGCGGGAUCCGGUAGCUUGCUACCGGUGAGAGCGGCGCACGGGUGCGUAACGCGUAUACAAUCUGCCUCUUACCGCGGGAUAGCCCAGAGAAAUUUGGAUUAACACCGCAUGGUAUAGUGUUCCGGCAUCGGGACGUUAUUAAAGGUUACGGUAAGAGAUGAGUAUGCGUCCUAUUAGCUAGUUGGUACGGUAACGGCGUACCAAGGCAACGAUAGGUAGGGGCCCUGAGAGGGGGAUCCCCCACACUGGUACUGAGACACGGACCAGACUCCUACGGGAGGCAGCAGUGAGGAAUAUUGGACAAUGGGCGCAAGCCUGAUCCAGCCAUGCCGCGUGCAGGAAGACGGCCCUAUGGGUUGUAAACUGCUUUUGUACAGGAAGAAACAAUGCUACGUGUAGCAUCUUGACGGUACUGUAAGAAUAAGGAUCGGCUAACUCCGUGCCAGCAGCCGCGGUAAUACGGAGGAUCCAAGCGUUAUCCGGAAUCAUUGGGUUUAAAGGGUCCGUAGGUGGAUGGUUAAGUCAGAGGUGAAAUCCUGCAGCUCAACUGUAGAAUUGCCUUUGAUACUGGUUAUCUUGAAUCAUUGUGAAGUGGUUAGAAUAUGUAGUGUAGCGGUGAAAUGCAUAGAUAUUACAUAGAAUACCGAUUGCGAAGGCAGAUCACUAACAAUGUAUUGACACUGAUGGACGAAAGCGUGGGGAGCGAACAGGAU